AGCAAUUUGUGGGAAUGCCUUUUUAGUUUAAAAAGAGUAUAUUAGGUUUUAACCUGAUAGAUUACCCCUUUUUAAAAUUAAGAAUUCAAAACCUUUGAAUGUAAUUCUAGAUAAAAUAUUGAUAAUGACAAAGUUUUAUCUAUAUGUCUUGACCAAAUCUUGUGCCAGCAGUCGCGGCAACACAAGGAAGACAAGUGUUAUUCAUCUUAAAUCGGUUUAAAGGGUACCUAGACGGUAAAUUAGGCCUUAAAUGGAACGUUUUUACUAGAGUUAUAUAUGCAUGAGGAAUAUGUGAGUAUUACCAGAGUAGAGAUGAAAUUUUUUGAUACUGUUAAGACUGGUAAAGGCAAAAGCAAACCUUUAUAUAUUAACUGACGUUGAGGGACGAAGGCUUGGGGAGCAAACAGGAUUAGAUACCCUAAUAGUCCAGGCAGAGAAUUAUGAAUGUCAUAGAAUAGA
rnacentral:rRNA from 1 species